rnacentral:snoRNA from 1 species
GUGUCUUAUGAUGAAGCUUCAUAGGGCAGAUUCUGAGCUGAGAAAUUAAAUUUCUCUUCACUGAUACUGUCUAUAUGCCAUCUGAAGACAC